UACGUAGGUGGCAAGCGUUGUCCGGAAUUAUUGGGCGUAAAGCGCGCGCAGGCGGUUCUUUAAGUCUGAUGUGAAAGCCCACGGCUCAACCGUGGAGGGUCAUUGGAAACUGGAGAACUUGAGUACAGAAGAGGAAAGCGGAAUUCCACGUGUAGCGGUGAAAUGCGUAGAGAUCGGGAGGAACACCAGAGGCGAAGGCGGCGACCUGGACAAGUACUGACACUCAACUGCGAAAGCGUGGGGAGCAAACAGG
rnacentral:rRNA from 1 species